UUGGGCUCUUUGAGGGGAUUUUUGGGGUCUCUGAGUGGUUUUUUGGGGUCAUAUUAUGGAUUUUUGGGGUCUUUGAGUGGAUUUUUGGGGUCAUAUUAUGGAUUUUUGGGGUCCUUGAGUGGAUUUUUGGGUGUUUUUAGUGGAUUUUUGGGGUUUUUUAGUGGAUUUUUGGGGUCUUUUAGUAGAUUUUUGGGGUCUCUGAGUCAAUUUUUGGGGUCUCUGAGUGGAUUUUUGGGGUCUCUGAGUUGAUUUUGGGGGUCUCUGAGUGGAUUUUUGGGGUCUUUGAGUGAAUUUUUGGGGUCAUUUUAUGGAUUUUUGGGCUCUUUGAGUGGAUUUUUGGGGUCUCUGAGUGGUUUUUUGGGGUCAUUUCCUGGAUUUCUGGGGUCUCUGAGUGGAUUUUUGAGGUCAUUUAGUGGAUUUUUGGGGUCUCUGAGUGAAUUUUUGUUGUCUCUGAGUUGAUUUUUGGGGUCAUUUCGUGGAUUUUUGGGCUCUCUUAGUGGAUUUUUGGGAUCUUUAAGUGGAUUUUUGGGAUCUGUUAAUGGAUUUUGGGGGUCUCUAAGUGGAUUUUUGGGGUCAUUUCGUGGAUUUUGGGGUCUCUGAGUCGGUUUUUGGGGUCCCCCCAGGCCGAGUCCUCCCUGGCCCGUUCCCAGGAGCUUUGGUUCCGCUGGGAAACCCUCUGGAGGAUUUUGGGGGAGAUCCUCAGGGACCCCCGGGAUCUGGAGCCUUCUGUGCUGCAGGAGCUGCAGGAGGAGCUCACCUGGGCCCAGGUGAGGAGGGGACACCCCGAAAUCGCCCCCCUGGUGCCUCCCCCCAAGCGCUCCCUCCCCCCCCUCCUGCUGCCGGAGCUGGAGCGGCGCCUGCGGGAAAAGCGGGAUGAGCUGCGGGGUUUCCUGCUGGGAAUUCCCGGGAUUCCGGGGCCCCUUCCCGAGGGAAUUC